rnacentral:rRNA from 1 species
CUGGGAGUAUAUCUAUCUCUGGAAUAAGCCCCAGCCAACUACGUGCCAGCAGCUGCGGUAAUACGUAGGGGGCGAGCGUUAUUCGGAAUUACUAGGUGUAAAGAGUAUGUAGGCGGCCCGACAAGUCGCGUGUAAAAGUCCAGAGCUUAACUCUGGGUUCGCACGUGAUACUGUCAGGCUUGAGGGCUGGAGAGGUGAGCGGAAUUCCCGGUGUAGUGGUAAAAUACGUAGAUAUCGGGAGGAACACCRRYGGCGWAGGCRGSUCACURGRCMGYWWCUGACGCURAGRWRCGAAAGCRUGGGGAGCRAACAGGAUUAGAUACCCUGGUAGUCCAYGCCSUAAACGWUGGRYACURGGUGURGGGGCUCAUUCCACGAGUUUCCGGUGCCGCAGCAAACGCAUUAAGUGCCCCGCCUGGGGGAGGUACGGCCGCAAGGCUAAAACUCAAAGGAAUUGACGGGGGGCCCGCACAAGGCGGGCGGAGCAUGCGGAUUAAUUCGAUGCAACGCGAAGAACCUUACCAAGGCUUGACAUACACCGGGAAAAGUGCAGAGAUGUGCUCCCCGCAAGGGUCGGGUGUACAGGUGGUGCAUGGGUUGUCGUCAGCUCGUGUCGUGAGAUGUUGGGUUAAGUCCCGCAACGAGCGCAACCCUCGUCCUAUGUUGCCAGCACGUUAUGGUGGGGACUCAUAGNAGACUGCCGGGGUCAACUCGGAGGAAGGUGGGGAUGACGUCAAAUCAUCAUGCCCCUUAUGUCUUGGGCUUCACGCAUGCUACAAUGGCCGGUACAAAGGGCUGCGAUACCGCAAGGUGGAGCGAAUCCCAAAAAGCCGGUCUCAGUUCGGAUUGGGGUCUGCAACUCGACCCCAUGAAGUCGGAGUCGCUAGUAAUCGCAGAUCAGCAACGCUGCGGUGAAUACGUUCCCG